UCGAACGGAGAAUUGCUAGCUUGCUAAUAAUUCUCUAGUGGCGCACGGGUGAGUAACACGUGAGUACCUGCCCCCAAGAGUGGGAUAGCCCCGGGAAACUGGGAUUAAUACCGCAUAAAGCAAUAAAGCAGCAAUGCGCUUGGGGAUGGGCUCGCGUCCUAUUAGUUAGUUGGUGAGGUAACGGCUCACCAAGGCGAUGACGGGUAGCCGGUCUGAGAGGAUGUCCGGCCACACUGGAACUGAGACACGGUCCAGACACCUACGGGUGGCAGCAGUCGAGAAUCAUUCACAAUGGGGGAAACCCUGAUGGUGCGACGCCGCGUGGGGGAUAAGGUCUUCGGAUUGUAAACCCCUGUCAUGUGGGACAUUAAAAGAUAGUACCACAAGAGGAAGAGACGGCUAACUCUGUGCCAGCAGCCGCGGUAAUACAGAGGUCUCAAGCGUUGUUCGGAAUCACUGGGCGUAAAGCGUGCGUAGGCGGUUUCGUAAGUCGUGUGUGAAAGGCGGGGGCUCAACCCCCGGACUGCACAUGAUACUGCGAGACUAGAGUAAUGGAGGGGGAACCGGAAUUCUCGGUGUAGCAGUGAAAUGCGUAGAUAUCGAGAGGAACACUCGUGGCGAAGGCGGGUUCCUGGACAUUAACUGACGCU
rnacentral:rRNA from 1 species